GGCGCACUUGAGGGCUAUUUAGCCACACACUGGUUCCUACAGGUCAGAAGACACACAUAGAGCACCGUGGCCGAUUACCUCGCCCCUAAGCAUCUAGCUAUCACGUGCGCUAACAUAUAUGAGCUCUCACUACUCAAGCUAAGACAAGACAAGGCCAUCUUUACUAACAGACCUCACUACCUUAGGCCAUAUGAAAGGAAGAUGCUCACCCCAGG